rnacentral:lncRNA from 1 species
UUUCAUCACCUCUUGUUACUUUUCCCUCCUUUCUUUCUUGAUAAGAACAUUGUCGCCUAACCAACAAUUUUAUACAUUGCAUAAAUGCAAAACCAUAUAUAAUCAUUGACCACUAACUAAAAAGAGAGGCCUUUUAUAAAAUCAAUUUGAUAAAGAUAGAGGAAAGGACCACACAUCCUUGUUUUAGAGUGAUUUUAACCGAACACUGAACACUCAUAAACUUUUUUCUUAGAUUGGAACAAUAUACACGUACACUGUCUUUUUCUUUUUUGGAUGAGAAAUGCAGGAAAUACAUAUGGAUCUUUAUUUUUUGAUGAAAUAUUGGGAUAUUUUAUUCUUCUUUCACCAUGCUGUCAUGUACUAUGUUCUAAUUUGUUUUUUUGUUGUC